UUGACCUCAAAUCAGGUAGGACUACCCGCUGAACUUAAGCAUAUCAAUAAGCGGAGGAAAAGAAACUAACAAGGAUUCCCUUAGUAACUGCGAGUGAAGAGGGAAAAGCUCAAAUUUAAAAUCUGACAGUGUUUCACUGUCCGA
rnacentral:rRNA from 1 species